GGGGGCUAGUUGUAACAGGGGUAAGUAGUAACAAGCAUUUUUUACCUACAUAUUAGAAGAAUAUUAAUUUAAUUUUCAAUCCAAUGUACUACUUUAUACGCAAUGUAUCAUUUAAGCGUGGUAAGCAUCCCGCCGGACGGCGCAGGAAGCGGUGCUGUGCAGGCGCUCCGAAAAAGCCAGAAUGAUACACUACUAAAGAAAAUCUACACGUGCUACCCAAAGUUAAGAUGUUUACGAAUUGGCCUCUGCUGAAGUCUUAGAAAAUAAAAUCAGUGUACGAAAAGCC